rnacentral:rRNA from 1 species
AUUGAACGCUGGCGGCAUGCUUUACACAUGCAAGUCGAACGGCAGCGCGGGGCAACCUGGCGGCGAGUGGCGAACGGGUGAGUAAUAUAUCGGAACGUACCCAGAAGUGGGGGAUAACGUAGCGAAAGUUACGCUAAUACCGCAUACGAUCUACGGAUGAAAGUGGGGGACCUUCGGGCCUCAUGCUUUUGGAGCGGCCGAUAUCUGAUUAGCUAGUUGGUGAGGUAAAGGCUCACCAAGGCGACGAUCAGUAGCUGGCCUGAGAGGACGACCAGCCACACUGGGACUGAGACACGGACCAGACUCCUACGGGAGGCAGCAGUGAGGAAUAUUGGACAAUGGGCGCAAGCCUGAUCCAGCCAUGCCGCGUGCAGGAAGAAGCAUCUAUGGUGUGUAAACUGCUUUUGUACGGGAAGAA